AUGAUUGCAUGGAUGAUGCCUAUGAGUGACAAAAGAAAAUUAUUGCCUUAUCUUCUCUGGAUUGUGACUAACCGGAGAUGUCUUGAAACCCUAGUGGGAACAAGAAAUAUUCAUCGUCAUGCGCAAGCAAAACCAAAGGGCUUGGCCAAGAUAUUGGGGUGUACUGGCUUAUGUUCAACCUCAAGACAAAAGGCUUUUAAUUUUCUUCGUCGGCAUGGAAGAUAUCCAAAAUUCAUUGAGACCAAUCAUUCAAUGUUGGAAAAAAGUAGCGGAAAUAUCAAAUUACCUCAUGGAGUUGUCAGUAAGUGUCGAAUAACGACACUCCUUACAGAAUCACAAUCUAAUGCAUAUGUAAAAGUUACUCAUUAA
rnacentral:lncRNA from 1 species